AUUAGAUACCCUGGUAGUCCACGCCGUAAACUAUGGAUGCUAGCUGUUAUUCGUAUCGACCCGAGCUAGUAGCGAAGCUAACGCGUUAAGCAUCCCGCCUGUGGAGUACGGUCGCAAGACUAAAACAUAAAGGAAUUGACGGGGACCCGCACAAGCGGUGGAGCGUGUUGUUUAAUUCGAUGGUAAGCGAAGAACCUUACCCAGACUUGACAUCCUUGGAAGCACUGCGAAAGCAGAGUGUGCCUCCGGGAACCAAGUGACAGGUGUUGCAUGGCCGUCGUCAGCUCGUGUCGUGAGAUGUUUGGUUAAGUCCAUCAACGAGCGCAACCCUUGUGGCUAGUUGAAUUUUUCUAGUCAGACUGCCCUGGUAACAGGGAGGAAGGAGGGGAUGAUGUCAGGUCAGUAUUACCCUUACGUCUGGGGCUACAAACACGCUACAAUGGCCGGUACAAAGGGCUGCCAAGUCGCGAGACGGAGCAAAUCCCAUCAAAACCGGUCCCAGUUCGGAUUGCAGGCUGAAACUCGCCUGCAUGA
rnacentral:rRNA from 1 species